rnacentral:rRNA from 1 species
UUUCAUUAAUCAAGAACGAAAGUUAGAGGUUCGAAGGCGAUCAGAUACCGCCCUAGUUCUAACCGUAAACUAUGCCUACUAGAUGUAUGAAUUAUUAGUUAUAAUAAUUUAUGCAUCUUCUCGGAAACGAAAGUCUUUCGGUUCCGGGGGAAGUAUGGUUGCAAAGCUGAAACUUAAAGGAAUUGACGGAAGGGCACCACCAGGAGUGGAGCCUGCGGCUUAAUUUGACUCAACACGGGAAAACUCACCCGGGCCGGACACUAUAAGGAUUGACAGAUUGAUAGCUCUUUCAUGAUUUAGUGGUUGGUGGUGCAUGGCCGUUCUUAGUUCGUGGAUAUGAUUUGUCUGGUUGAUUCCGAUAACGAGCGAGACUUUUAUGUUAUAUUAAAUAUUAUUAUUUUGUUUAUUUUAAUAUAAAUAAUUAAUAUUUUAAUAACAGAUUAAUAGUGUUUAACUAUUUGAGAGAGAGCGAUAACAGGUCUGUGAUGCCCUUAGAUGUCCGGGGCUGCACGCGCGCUACAAU